GCAGUCGUGGCCGAGUGGUUAAGGCGAUGAACUAGAAAUCUAUUGGGGUCUCCCCGCACAGGUACGAAUCCUGUCAACUGUG
rfam:Ixodes scapularis strain Wikel colony gcontig_1108379634738, whole genome shotgun sequence.